GAAAUGCGAUAAGUAAUGUGAAUUGCAGAAUUCCGUGAAUCAUCGAUUCUUUGAACGCACAUUGCGCCCUCUGGCAUUCCGGGGGGCAUGCCUGUCCGAGCGUCAUUACGCACCCUCAAGCCCGGCUUGUGUGAUGGGCCCCGGCGUCUCGUUCGCGAGACGGGCCCGAAAGGCAGCGGCGGCGUCGACCCGAUGAGCCCGAGCGUAUGGGGACUUCUGUCACACGUUCGCGGUGCGGACCGGCGCCUGCUUGACUUUUCUGAUUAUCCAGGUUGACCUCGGAUCAGGUAGGGAUACCCGCUGAACUUAAGC
rnacentral:misc_RNA from 1 species